CGUUUUAAUAAUAGUAGCAUUUCCUCGUAUAACAACCGUGCACACCGCGUAACUAUAAAUAAAUAAAUAUUUAUUUCGCGAUAACGAUUAUUACACGAUACCGUCUGUCCGUCUACCGCGACUUGCGAGAAUUCAUAUAGAUAAACAAAUAUUAUAUACAUUUAUUGUACAUAAUAACGCGAGUAACAUACAGUCCUUGGGUUAUAAUUUAUUUGGCCGGUAUACAGUUGUUCGCCGCACUGAAGUCUCGCGAGUUCACGUUGUACUUUUGAAAUUAAAUUUAUUUUAGAUCGUAUAUAUUUCGACUACACAAGUUGAUAGUGAACAGAUGGUUUUUUUCUCUCCUUUUGAUAAAUAAAUGUGGAAUAUCGACGAUUGAUCGCGGUUAUUCGAACGGAGAGCAGCAGAUUAUUGUUCGAGAGGUAUAUUGCGGAUAGAAACACUCGAGUGCCAAGUACACUAAAAAACGUGAUGCCGUCGUCGUGUUAUAUAGUGUCAUAUACACACACACUGCACUAUAUAACAUCGUAAAGUCUAAUGUGACGAACGAUAACUCGGAUAGUCCGCCGCCGCCCCGUUCCUGUGUAUACGGCACGGAGUCAACACAGUCCACGUCAUCUUAUUCGCUCUGCUGCAGUCUCAUCAUCGAGGAGCACAAGUGAUUUCCUAGACGAUGUUAAUUCGAUCGAGACGUCAUCGCGGUGUCGGAACGGAGUCAAUACUGUCAUUCAAAACUCUCACGGACAAUUCAGAAAGACGUUUAAACCGGAACUGGCUCAGACUUAUUCAUAUUUUGGUGAAAUUGUGGAUUGCUAACCUGCGACGUGUCACUAGCAACGAGACUCGUGAUCCUGCUGGAUCGUGUCCAAUGCACAGGGCGUAGCUGAGCGGCGUGCAAAAUGACCGUUUAUCGUUCCAGCGGACAGACGACAACCCUUUACUUAUACACGCUCACAGACGUGUAUAAUAUAUACACACAUAUAAAUACGGCGUACAGCAGCGGCGUGAGUUGUAAAAAUCUGGGAGUGCAAUAAAAAUAACCGAUUCCGGAUUUCGACGUCGUCAUAUAUAUAUAUAUAUAUAUUACAUUAUAUGAGACAACGACCUCGUAGCAGCGGACGAAACGGUAGUGGAGCGGGAAAUAUAUAAACGGCGUUGAACUGGUAAGGGAUGUGGUGGUGGUGAGGAGCGGUCGUUUUUAGAGCCGCUAUCAAUCUUGAGGGACCGACGGCGCCUCGGCUACAUGGCGCCUGACACAACCCUCACGUACACCCACCCCGGCGCUGGAACUUUGGCACAAGAGCGGGAUUCAAAAUAAUUGAAUGAAUCACAGAAUUAAGAUAUCAGAGCCUGCAAUGCAGUAGCCAAGUGUACACCCAGUGUCUAAUAUUACUGAGGACAUGGUUCCUUAACAUUUAUAUUACAAUUUAUUUCUGCCAUAUUAGCUGGGCCGUGAUAUAAUAAACAGAAAUUUCUAAUAUAAUCAAUAUAUUAUAACCAUGUGAAUUCAUAAUAAAUAAUCUGCAAAAUGUUUAUUUUACACGUCAUCAGUCAUUAGUAAUGCAGACUUAUUAGAUAUUACUAUUCACUUCAUAGCAAUACGAUCAUAUUAUGACUGAAUGGUUAGUUACCUAACUUAGUGAAGACACAUGUCAUCCGUUCAACCAGUUCCUGAUUUAAGCAAUUACCUUUGCUAAACGAUUAGUCACACGAGGACCUGAUUGUCAUAUUUUGAAAAAAAAACUCAUUUUAAAGGUUAGAAUAAAAUUCGUACUACUUAUUGCAGAUAAAAGUAAAG